rnacentral:rRNA from 1 species
CGGGACGGGUGAGUAAUGCUUGGGAAUCUGGCUUAUGGAGGGGGAUAACUACGGGAAACUGUAGCUAAUACCGCGUAGUAUCGGAAGAUGAAAGUGCGGGACCGUAAGGCCGCAUGCCAUGGGAUGAGCCCAAGUGGGAUUAGGUAGUUGGUGGGGUAAAGGCUACCAAGCCUGCGAUCUCUAGCUGGUCUGAGAGGAUGGCCAGCCACACUGGAACUGAGACACGGUCCAG